rnacentral:misc_RNA from 1 species
AACGGUCUAUACCUGCGGUACCUGCGGAAGGAUCAUUAACGAGUGUAACUUACCCUUUUUUUUAAAAGAGGGUAGUACCUCCUGUCCUUUGUAGGCCCCUUUUUAUUGGGGGGCUUUUUAAGACUUUCUGCUUCGGCGGGGUUAUUCCCGCCGGAACACCCUCAAAAAACUCUUCAAAAACUAAUUCAGUCCGAGAAUUUUUGAAAAUAAAAAAAACUUUUAACAAUGGAUCUCUAGAUC